rnacentral:lncRNA from 1 species
CUGCAGGCACAAAUGAGCUUGGUUUUCAAGCACCAGUCUUUGAGCACAAGGAAUUCCUUUAAUGAUCACGGGCUAGAUAGACUUUGGAAUCAGACUCUUUGAAUUCCAGCUCUGCCAUUUACCAACUUUGACACUUUGGAUAGGGUCUCAUUCUGUCAGCCAGGCUGGAGUGCAGUGGCACUAUUAUAGCUCACUGCAGCCUCAAAUGCCUGGGCUCAGGCAGUCUUCCCACCUCUGCCUCCUGAGUAGUUGGGACUACAGGGUUUUGGAAAUCUGGAUUGUAGUGGGGCAUUGUAUGUUAAAAAAUCAUCUUCCCAUUCUGAUCUUUGCAAAGAUUUUUCUGUUCCUUAAAUUUGUUCAGGUUAAGAGAUUGCAGAUUGCUUCUGUGGACUUAUUGAAGGUGGACCUGGCUGUUGGUGGAGAUCCCUAGACUGCAUGGGGCCAUGGGCAUGAUCUGGAGACACAGUAGGUUGUACCAGAAGCAUGGCUGAGGAGGCCUUAAGUAACUUACAAUCAUGGCAGAAGGCAAAGGGGAAGCAGGUCAUCCUCAGAAUUUACACUCUCUCUCCUUUUGUGCCCCCAUGGACCAAGUUAAGAAGGUGUAGGCUUCAAAUCUGAAGAUUGGUCACCACAAAAUUCAAAGAGGCAAGGUCUUUGUUGCUCAGGAUGGAGUGUAGUGGUGCCAUAGCUCACUGUAACCUUGAAUUUCUGGGCUACUGGCAUACACCACCAUG